UCAACGGCAAGUGUUAAAUAUGCAUUGUUAUACACAACAGUUCGUAAGUGGUAAAUUAAGAAAUAUUUUUGGUUUUCGGACACAUACGAGUCCCGCAAAAUGUAUUUUUAAUCUAAGGUUAGAGAGACGGCUGACAGCAUCUUCGUCAUCUCUAACCGUCACUCCCGCCACAGAUCUGAAGCAAGAUGGAGCGUGGAGAGACCGGACAGUUCCCACAGUGCUAGUUUUUCAGCACCCACACCCCACACACAAAUUUAUAUAGAAGUUUUCAGUAAUAAAAAGUUUAUAUGAUCGUUUCUAUUUAGCUAUGAAGUUAUAGUUCACUGUCAUAAAUAUUAAACUAAAUAUUAAAGUCCCCCUGUAGUGAAAAUCAAGUUUUUUAUGUUGUUUAUUUGUCUUUGUGGUUUUAAAUAUUGCUACGUCACAAUCCAAUAACCAAUCACAUCAAAGAAUCAAUUCCUAUUAUUAGCAUGUAAAAUAAACCAAUACCAGCACAAAAUCUAAAAAUAAAUUAUAGCAAAAAAAAACAUUAAGCUGUGGUUUAAUGUGAAUUUAGAUACAAUAUUUGACUACGGGUGUCAUGAAGGAAGACAGGAGCAAAUGCAAGUGAACUCUUUAUUGUGACAGUAUAUAAUAAGGAAAGCUCCGGCUGACAGCGGGUGGCGCAGGGACCUCGAUGGACAGCACUGGACAGACGAGAUGGUGAGUAGGGUGCGCUGGUGAAUGACAGUGGGAGAUCCAGACGAUGACGUAAUCCACUGAGAAACACGGAACAAUGACACACGAGACUGAAAACGCCAAAUAGGAACAGGAGUUGAGACAGACAUGACAAAAGAGAUGAGAAAUGGAUGAGUAUUUAAAGGUGAGUGGAUUAGCUGCAGCUGGCGCCGUGAGUGAGAACCGCUGGUCACUGAUCAGACAAUGAUGGCCGGUCACGCCCACUCACACACAUCCACACACAUGUAACAACAUAAACAUAAGACAAGCAGGAAACAAUGCAUUCAUGAACCGUCUGUUCAAUGUGUUAAUGAGAUUUUUGAAAGUGAUUAUCUUUAAUAAUUCAGAUACCUGUUGAAAUGCACAUGUAAUUAUAUGCUUGCUCGUAUCUGGAAUGUUGUGUUAAUAAACAUUACGUUGAAAUCGAAUGUUGCAACAGUGCUAACCUGAAAAUAACAUUUUAUUAAGCUACACUUUGUAAUGUUCAAAUGAAUGUUUAUACAAUGUCUUAUUUUUAAUAAAAUGUAAGUGGAAAGAACAUUGUAGGAACAUUAUGCUAACCAUAAAAUAACGUUCCAGCAACGCUAAGCAAACUGGACAUUUUAACAUUCUUGGAAUGUUUCAAAUAAAAUGAGAGAUCACUUCCGACCGUUCCGGCGCUUGCGCAGACUUAAGCCAGAACGUGCGCACACGUCACACACCAGGAAGCGCGCGCGCCCUCAGAUCACUUGGACGUGGUUGUGUACAAGAUGUAAAAACGAUAUAAAUACUGUUCGUUUUCUCACACAAACCACUUGUUUCGUGUCUUAGGCCAUCAAUGUGUACUUACGAUGGGGAAUUGUUAAAUUUAGACUUCUCUGUGCAUGUUCUUUGAGGUGGUGACCAUAGACCUGCAUUAAAUGACUGGCAGACAAGAACGGUUUGACCUAAAAAUAUCAAAAUUGAAACUACUGCGGAAACAAAGACACCUACAUCUUGGAUGCCCUUGAGGUAAGCUAAAACAUACCAAAAUUUAAUUUCAAAGUGAACUAUCCCUUUAACGUGCAAUUGUCAGCAUUUAUCAAUUAAUGCGUUAACACUACAAUAACGUGUUAACUUGCCCAGCCCUAAAAUAAAUACAUAAUAUAUUCUUAUUUAAAACAACUUUUCUGGGUUGUUUUGGAUUGCACAGGACAGAAAUGUUAGACUGGGCCUCUGAUACCGGUGCAACUAUUGCAGGAACCAUUGGGGGGCGCUGAUAGUGGAGAGCUAAAGAGACACCAACUUCUGAGGUGGUCUUAUGUGGUGACCUGAAACAAAACAGAAAUAAAUACAGUAUUAUUACAUGUGUAAAUACACUAUAAAGGAAAGUUUAUAAGGUAUAACAUACAACUUAUUAAAUCUAAUAAUAAAAGCAAAGCAAGAAAACUU
ensembl:lncRNA